SSUUGCUCCGGUGAAAGUGGCGCACGGGUGAGUAACGCGUGGAUAAUCUGCCCUGGUAUCUGGGAUAACAUCUCGAAAGGGGUGCUAAUACCGGAUAAGCCCACGGGAUCCUCGGAUUCUGCGGGAAARGGUGGCCUCUAUUUAUAAGCUACCGUAUCAGGAUGAGUCCGCGUACCAUUAGCUAGUUGGUGGGGUAAUGGCCCACCAAGGCUACSAUGGUUAGCUGGUCUGARAGGAUGAUCAGCCACACUGGAACUGAGACACGGUCCAGACUCCUACGGGAGGCAGCAGUGGGGAAUUUUGCGCAAUGGGGGAAACCCUGACGCAGCAACGCCGCGUGAGUGAUGAAGGCUUUCGGGUCGUAAAGCUCUGUCAGAGGGGAAGAAAUGGAAUUGGUUAAUACCCGAUUUCCUUGACGGUACCCUCAAAGGAAGCACCGGCUAACUCCGUGCCAGCAGCCGCGGUAAUAC
rnacentral:rRNA from 1 species